UAGCGGGGCUCAAGCGUACCGCCGAAGUCGUGUCAUUGCAGCAUGAGGGCCAACGCCCGCUGUGAUGGGUAGGGGAGCGUCGUGUGCCGGGUGAAGCAGCCGUGGAAGCGAGUUGUGGACGGUUCACGAGUGAGAAUGCAGGCAUGAGUAGCGAUUCACACGUGAGAAACGUGUGCGCCGAUUGACUAAGGGUUCCUGGGUCAAGCUGAUCUGCCCAGGGUAUGUCGGGACCUAAGGCGAGGCGGACAGGCGUAGUCGAUGGAUAACCGGUUGAUACUCCGGUACCCGCUGUGAAGCGUCAAACAUUGAAUCCAGAGAUGCUAAGCCAGUGAAGCCGUUCCGGACCCUUCGGGGAAUUGAAAGUGGUGGAGCCGGUGGCCCGAGCUGGUAGUAGGUGAGUGAUGGAGUGACGCAGGAAGGUAGUCCAUCCCGGGCGGUGGUUGUCCCGGGGUAAGGGUGUAGGACGUCAGGUAGGUAAAUCCGCCUGGCUAUAGUCUGAGACCUGAUGCCGAGCCGAUUGUGGUGAAGUGGAUGAUCCU
rnacentral:rRNA from 1 species